rnacentral:rRNA from 1 species
CCUACGGGAGGCAGCAGUAGGGAAUCUUUCACAAUGGGCGAAAGCCUGAUGGAGUAACGCCGCGUGCAGGAUGAAGGCCUUCGGGUUGUAAACUGCUUUUAUCAGCGAGAAAUAUGAUGGUAACUUAUGAAUAAGGAUCGGCUAACUCCGUGCCAGCAGCCGCGGUCAUACGUAGGAGCCGAGCAUUAUCCGGAGUGACUGGGUGUAAAGAGUUGCGUAGGUGGCAUAAUAAGUAGCUAGUGAAAUCUGGUGGCUCAACCAUUCAGACUAUUAGCUAAACUGUUAAGCUCGAGACCGGUAGGGGUAACUGGAAUGUCUAGUGUAGGAGUGAAAUCCGUAGAUAUUAGAAGGAACACCAAUAGCGUAGGCAGGUUGCUGGGACGGGUCUGACACUAAGGCACGAAGGCGUAGGGAGCAAACGGGAUUAGAUACCCGAGUAGUC